rnacentral:rRNA from 1 species
AUUGAACGCUGGCGGCAUGCCUUACACAUGCAAGUCGAACGGUAACAGGUUAAGCUGACGAGUGGCGAACGGGUGAGUAAUACAUCGGAACGUGCCCAGACGUGGGGGAUAGCUCGGCGAAAGCCGGAUUCAUACCGCAUGUGAUCUGAGGAUGAAAGCGGGGGACCGUAAGGCCUCGCGCGCUUGGCGCGGGCGAUGGCAGAUUAGGUAGUUGGUGGGGUAAAGGCUAACCAAGCCUACGAUCUGUAGCUGAUCUGAGAGGACGACCAGCCAACCUGGGACGGAAGUGCGGCCCGGACUCCAACGGGAGGCAGGAGUGGGGAAUUUUGGACUAUGGGCGAAAGCCUGAACCAGCAAUGCCGCGUGCAGGAUGAAGGGCUGCGGUUUGUAAACUGCUUUUGUACGGAACGAAAAGGCGCCUACUAAUACUGGGUGUUGAUGACGGUACCGUAAGAAUAAGCACCGGCUAACUACGUGCCAGCCGCCGCCGUAACAC